rnacentral:rRNA from 1 species
GAUGACCGCUGGCGGCGUGCUUAACACAUGCAAGUCGAACGAAGCACUUUAUUUGAUUUCCUUCGGGACUGAUUAUUUUGUGACUGAGUGGCGGACGGGUGAGUAACGCGUGGGUAACCUGCCUUGUACAGGGGGAUAACAGUUGGAAACGGCUGCUAAUACCGCAUAAGCGCACGGCAUCGCAUGAUGCAGUGUGAAAAACUCCGGUGGUAUAAGAUGGACCCGCGUUGGAUUAGCUAGUUGGUGAGGUAACGGCCCACCAAGGCGACGAUCCAUAGCCGACCUGAGAGGGUGACCGGCCACAUUGGGACUGAGACACGGCCCAAACUCCUACGGGAGGCAGCAGUGGGGAAUAUUGCACAAUGGGCGAAAGCCUGAUGCAGCGACGCCGCGUGAGCGAAGAAGUAUUUCGGUAUGUAAAGCUCUAUCAGCAGGGAAGAUAAUGACGGUA